rnacentral:rRNA from 1 species
CAGGCCUAACACAUGCAAGUCGGACGGGAUCAGGGAGCUUGCUCCCUGUGAGAGUGGCGCACGGGUGCGUAACACGUAUGUAACCUACCUUUAUCAGGGGGAUAGCCUCUCGAAAGAGAGAUUAACACCGCAUAACAUCACGAUGAAGCAUUUCAAUGUGAUCAAAUAUUUAUAGGAUAAAGAUGGGCAUGCGGGACAUUAGCUAGUUGGCGGGGUAACGGCCCACCAAGGCGACGAUGUCUAGGGGAUCUGAGAGGAUGACCCCCCACACUGGUACUGAGACACGGACCAGACUCCUACGGGAGGCAGCAGUAAGGAAUAUUGGUCAAUGGACGCAAGUCUGAACCAGCCAUGCCGCGUGCAGGAAGACGGCCCUACGGGUUGUAAACUGCUUUUAUACGGGAAUAAACCUACUUACGUGUAAGUAGCUGAAUGUACUGUAAGAAUAAGGAUCGGCUAACUCCGUGCCAGCAGCCGCGGUAAU